rnacentral:rRNA from 1 species
AUACAUGCAGUCGAACGCUUUUUCUUUCACCGGAGCUUGCUCCACCGAAAGAAAAAGAGUGGCGAACGGGUGAGUAACACGUGGGUAACCUGCCCAUCAGAAGGGGAUAACACUUGGAAACAGGUGCUAAUACCGUAUAACACUAUUUUCCGCAUGGAAGAAAGUUGAAAGGCGCUUUUGCGUCACUGAUGGAUGGACCCGCGGUGCAUUAGCUAGUUGGUGAGGUAACGGCUCACCAAGGCCACGAUGCAUAGCCGACCUGAGAGGGUGAUCGGCCACACUGGGACUGAGACACGGCCCAGACUCCUACGGGAGGCAGCAGUAGGGAAUCUUCGGCAAUGGACGAAAGUCUGACCGAGCAACGCCGCGUGAGUGAAGAAGGUUUUCGGAUCGUAAAACUCUGUUGUUAGAGAAGAACAAGGAUGAGAGUAGAACGUUCAUCCCUUGACGGUAUCUAACCAGAAAGCCACGGCUAACUACGUGCCAGCAGCCGCGGUAAUACGUAGGUGGCAAGCGUUGUCCGGAUUUAUUGGGCGUAAAGCGAGCGCAGGCGGUUUCUUAAGUCUGAUGUGAAAGCCCCCGGCUCAACCGGGGAGGGUCAUUGGAAACUGGGAGACUUGAGUGCAGAAGAGGAGAGUGGAAUUCCAUGUGUAGCGGUGAAAUGCGUAGAUAUAUGGAGGAACACCAGUGGCGAAGGCGGCUCUCUGGUCUGUAACUGACGCUGAGGCUCGAAAGCGUGGGGAGCGAACAGGAUUAGAUACCCUGGUAGUCCACGCCGUAAACGAUGAGUGCUAAGUGUUGGAGGGUUUCCGCCCUUCA